CCUACGGGUGGCAGCAGUGAGGAAUAUUGGUCAAUGGGCGCGAGCCUGAACCAGCCAAGCCGCGUGAGGGAUGAAGGAUCUAUGAUUCGUAAACUUCUUUUAUAAGGGAAUAAAGUCCGGGACGUGUCCCGCUUCGCAUGUACCUUACGAGUAAGGAUCGGCUAACUCCGUGCCAGCAGCCGCGGUAAUACGGAGGGUUCGAGCGUUAUCCGGAUUUAUUGGGUUUAAGGGGUGCGUAGGCGGUCUGAUAAGUCAGAGGUGAAAUCCUGUGGCUCAACCCUGGAACUGCCGUUGAUACUGGGGGGCUAGAGUGUGUUUGAGGCAGGCGGAAUGCAUGGUGUAGCGGUGAAAUGCAUAGAUAUCACACAGAACACCGAUUGCGAAGGCAGCCUGCCAAGCCAUGACUGACGCUGAGGCACGAAAGCGUGGGGAGCAAACAGGAUUAGAUACCCCAGUAAUC
rnacentral:rRNA from 1 species